CCGUAAACGAUGAGUGUUAGGUGUCUGGAGUAAAUCUGGGUGCCGCAGCUAACGCAUUAAACACUCCGCCUGGGGAGUACGCACGCAAGUGUGAAACUCAAAGGAAUUGACGGGGGCCCGCACAAGCGGUGGAGCAUGUGGUUUAAUUCGAAGCAACGCGAAGAACCUUACCAAGUCUUGACAUAUUUUGGAAGCACUUAGAGAUAAGAGCCUAUAUCUUCGGAUAACUGAAAUACAGGUGGUGCAUGGUUGUCGUCAGCUCGUGUCGUGAGAUGUUGGGUUAAGUCCCAUAACGAGCGCAACCCCUUUUGCUAGUUACCAUCAUUAAGUUGGGGACUCUAGCAAUACUGCCGGUGACAAACCGGAGGAAGGUGGGGAUGACGUCAAAUCAUCAUGCCCUUUAUGACUUGGGCUACACACGUGCUACAAUGGCAGGGACA
rnacentral:rRNA from 1 species